rnacentral:rRNA from 1 species
AGUGGCAAACGGGUGAGUAAUACGUAGGGAUAUGCCUUGAAGAGGGGGAUAACACGGGGAAACGCGUGCUAAUACCGCAUAUACUCUUAGGAGGAAAGCUGGGGACCUUCGGGCCUGGCGCUUUAAGAUUAACCUACGUCCGAUUAGCUAGUUGGUGGGGUAAGAGCCUACCAAGGCGAUGAUCGGUAGCUGGUCUGAGAGGACGAACAGCCACACUGGGACUGAGACACGGCCCAGACUCCUACGGGAGGCAGCAGUGGGGAAUAUUGGACAAUGGGGGAAACCCUGAUCCAGCAAUGCCGCGUGUGUGAAGAAGGCCUGAGGGUUGUAAAGCACUUUCAUUAGGGAGGAGGGCUCAUAGGUUAAGAGCUGAUGAGUUGGACGUUACCUAAAGAAGAAGCACCGGCUAACUCCGUGCCAGCAGCCGCGGUAAUACGGAGGGUGCGAGCGUUAAUCGGAAUUACUGGGCGUAAAGGGUGCGUAGGUUGUUAGAUAAGUUAUCUGUGAAAUUUCCGGGCUUAACCUGGGGCGGUCAGAUGAUACUGUUUAACUAGAGUAUAGGAGAGGGUAGUGGAAUUCCCGGUGUAGCGGUGAAAUGCGUAGAGAUCGGGAGGAACACCAGUGGCGAAGGCCGCCUACUGGUCUAUACUGACACUGAAGCACGAAGCGUGGGGAGCAAACAGGAUUAGAAACCCUGG